AGUGAACGCUGGCGGUAGGCCUAACACAUGCAAGUCGAACGGCAGCACAGUAAGAGCUUGCUCUUACGGGUGGCGAGUGGCGGACGGGUGAGGAAUACAUCGGAAUCUACUUUUUCGUGGGGGAUAACGUAGGGAAACUUACGCUAAUACCGCAUACGACCUACGGGUGAAAGCAGGGGAUCUUCGGACCUUGCGCGAUUGAAUGAGCCGAUGUCGGAUUAGCUAGUUGGCGGGGUAAAGGCCCACCAAGGCGACGAUCCGUAGCUGGUCUGAGAGGAUGAUCAGCCACACUGGAACUGAGACACGGUCCAGACUCCUACGGGAGGCAGCAGUGGGGAAUAUUGGACAAUGGGCGCAAGCCUGAUACAGCCAUACCGCGUGGGUGAAGAAGGCCUUCGGGUUGUAAAGCCCUUUUGUUGGGAAAGAAAAGCAGCAGGUUAAUACCCCGCUGUUCUGACGGUACCCAAAGAAUAAGCACCGGCUAACUUCG
rnacentral:rRNA from 1 species